rnacentral:rRNA from 1 species
AUUGAACGCUGGCGGAAUGCUUUACACAUGCAAGUCGAACGUGAAAGUACUUCAGUAUGAGUAAAGUGGCGCACGGGUGAGUAACACGUAGGUGACCUGCCUAUUAAUGGGGAAUAACCAGAAGAAAUUUUGGCUAAUACCGCAUACGAAGCACAAAUCUUAGAGUAGUGCUUGAAAGGAUGCCUCUGUAUAUGCAGUCGUUAAUAGAUGGGCCUGCGGUACAUUAGCUAGUUGGUGGGGUAAAGGCCUACCAAGGCAACGAUGUAUAUCCGGUCUGAGAGGAUGAUCGGACACACUGGAACUGAGACACGGUCCAGACUCCUACGGGAGGCAGCAGUGGGGAAUAUUGCGCAUUGGGGGAAACCCUGACGCAGCAAUGCCGCGUGAGUGAGGAAGGAUUUCGGUCUGUAAAGCUCUGUUAAUGUAGAAGAAUGAUGAGUGGUCUAAUAGGCCAUUCAAGUGACGGUAUACAUAGAGGAAGCACCGGCUAACUUCGUGCCAGCCGCCGCCGUAAGAC